CCUACGGGAGGCAGCAGUGAGGAAUAUUGGUCAAUGGACGAGAGUCUGAACCAGCCAAGUAGCGUGAAGGAUGACUGCCCUAUGGGUUGUAAACUUCUUUUAUAUGGGAAUAAAACGUUCCACGUGUGGGAUUUUGUAUGUACCAUAUGAAUAAGGAUCGGCUAACUCCGUGCCAGCAGCCGCGGUAAUACGGAGGAUCCGAGCGUUAUCCGGAUUUAUUGGGUUUAAAGGGAGCGUAGGUGGAUUGUUAAGUCAGUUGUGAAAGUUUGCGGCUCAACCGUAAAAUUGCAGUUGAAACUGGCAGUCUUGAGUACAGUAGAGGUGGGCGGAAUUCAUGGUGUAGCGGUGAAAUGCUUAGAUAUCACGAAGAACUCCGAUUGCGAAGGCAGUUCACUGGACUGCAACUGACACUGAGGCUCGAAAGUGUGGGUAUCAAACAGGAUUAGAUACCCUUGUAGUC
rnacentral:rRNA from 1 species